rnacentral:rRNA from 1 species
AAUUUUAGGUGUGCCCUGCCCGGUGAUUAAUUUAACGGCCGCAGUACUCUGACUGUGCUAAGGUAGCAUAAUAAUUUGUCUUUUAAUUAAAGACUGGAAUAAACGGGUGUUUUAAUGAAACCUGUCUCACCAUAUAUAAUUUUUAAAUUACUUAUAAGGUGAAAAUACCUUUAAUCUUAUANUUAGACGAGAAGACCCUUAGAGUUUAAUAUUUAUUUUGUUGGGGCGACAGGGAAACAAACAGCNUUUCCUAUAUCUUAUAUCUAUAUAUCAAUUAAUUUAGUAAAUAAACUACCUAAGGGAUAACAGCAUAAUUUUUUAGAGAGAUUAUGACCUCGAUGUUGGAUUAAGGGCUUAUACACUAGCAGUUUAAUAAUGAUUGUUCUGUUCGAACA